GUCGGCUGCGGGGCUUGGUCCCGGGUCCCGCCCCGCCAAGCCCCGCCCCUCCGCCCGCUAGGACUCCCGCGGGCGCAACCACGGAACUGCUGUCCCCGGGCCAGCCUGGGGCGGCCGGCCCGAAACCACCCGAUAAGAUGGAAUCACUGAAUUCAUCACUUGACUCAGUAAUAGUUGGAUAAGUUUAGCAAGGGAUGGUGAAGUUGGAGAAAGGCUCCUUUACCCCUCCUCCAGGAUGAACCCCCUGCAAGAAGACAUGGAGAGCGCUCUCACAGGGAGUCAGAGCCCUCACACUUCUUUGCGCGACGUUCAUUCCAUCAACCCCACACACCUCAUGGCCAGGAUCGAGUCUUACGAAGGAAGGGAGAAGAAAGGCAUAUCUGAUGUCAGGAGGACUUUCUGUUUGUUUGUCACCUUUGACCUCUUAUUUGUAACAUUACUCUGGAUAAUAGAGUUAAAUGUGAAUGGAGGCAUUGAGAACACAUUAGAGAAGGAGGUGGUGCAGUAUGACUACUACUCCUCUUAUUUUGAUAUAUUCCUUUUGGCAGUUUUUCGAUUUAAAGUGUUAAUACUUGCAUAUGCUGUGUGCAGACUGCGCCAUUGGUGGGCCAUAGCGCUGACGACAGCAGUGACCAGUGCCUUUUUACUCGCAAAAGUGAUCCUCUCAAAGCUUUUCUCCCAAGGGGCUUUUGGCUACGUGCUCCCCAUCAUUUCAUUCCUCCUUGCCUGGAUUGAGACGUGGUUCCUGGAUUUCAAAGUCUUACCUCAAGAGGCAGAAGAGGAAAAUAGACUCCUGAUAGUUCAGGAUGCUUCAGAGAGGGCGGCACUUAUACCUGGUGGUCUUUCAGAUGGUCAGUUUUAUUCUCCACCUGAAUCUGAAGCAGGAAGGAGGAAGCACAGUCCAUUGUCAGAUGAUUGGGCUGAAGGUGUUAUGUGUGGUCAGACAGCUGAAGUGAACCAGUCGUGAUGCUGAGGAAAAGGAUCUGAAGAAGAAGCUGAAGAAAAGCAGGACAGUGAAAAACCACUUUUGGAACUAUGAGUACUACUUUUGUUAAAUGUGAAAAUCCAUCAUUGAAAGUCACUGGAGGGAAAAAAAAAAAGGACCAGAGCUGGGUCUUCCUAUUGAAAGUUGAAGGUGACAUCCCCUGCUGACUUUAAUGAAUGGCUAAUAAAGAAUUUAUUUAUUGUAAUACCUCAUAGACAUUGUACCAGAUCACGUACAUUUAGGACCUGCCUGUGGCUGGUAAGAUAAUGUGAUGAUCCAUCCCGUGUUAGUGAGACUGAGUCUGAUCUGUUUGUGAAUAGUUGGAGCAAAGUCUUGUGCUGUAUUCCCGAUCAAAAGACUUCUGAAUAUAUUGGAAUAACACUUUUUUAGUAAGCAAAAUAUCUUUUUAUUUGAUUCGCAGUUUGGAAUUUUUUGUUUCAUGUCUCAGAUUUCGUUUGUAUUUCUUUUUUAACAUCCAACAUUUCCCUUGUGUUUUUUAACUCACGCUUAUGCGCUCUUUGUACAAUUUUAAAAAGUAAUAAAUACCAACAUAUCAAAAUGGUUCAUUUUAUUUUACUUGUUUUGCAUUAUGUAUUUGGCUUGAAGUAUUGGAAUUACCAAAGGGGGGCCAGGAGGGAAUGUGAGUACAUGUACAGCAUAACCAGACAUUUUUGUAUUAUUUUCAUUAUGAAAUAGCAUCUUUCUCUGAGAAGUAUGGUUCUGAAAUGGUGUGAGACUCUUUAUUUUGAACCUACAGUCUGAAAUCAUGGCCAUCAUUUCUCUUUGUGUGGCUAAUUUGAAUUAAAAUAAACUAAAUUAUAUUGUGAACUC